rnacentral:rRNA from 1 species
UACGUAGGCAGCAAGCGUUGUUCGGAGUUACUGGGCGUAAAGAGUGUGUAGGCGGUGCUCUAAGUUCGGUGUGAAAUCUCCCGGCUCAACUGGGAGGGUGCGCCGAAAACUGGAGUGCUGGAGCGCGGGAGAGGAAAGCGGAAUUCCUGGUGUAGCGGUGAAAUGCGUAGAUAUCAGGAGGAACACCGGCGGUGUAGACGGCUUUCUGGACCGUAGCUGACGCUGAGACACGAAAGCGUGGGUAGCAAACAGG